AACAAAACUGUUGAAGAAAAAGUAAAUUCUACUCAACAUAGUGAGGAAUUUUUAUAACCGUCUGGGCGGAAAUACAGAUUCUCUCGGUAUGUAUGACUGUUUAUAUGUAAAUGGGUGCAACAUUGUGAACAUAAUGUAU
rnacentral:lncRNA from 1 species